rnacentral:rRNA from 1 species
GAUGAACGCUGGCGGCGUGCCUAAUACAUGCAAGUCGAGCGAACGGACGAGAAGCUUGCUUCUCUGAUGUUAGCGGCGGACGGGUGAGUAACACGUGGAUAACCUACCUAUAAGACUGGGAUAACUUCGGGAAACCGGAGCUAAUACCGGAUGAUAUUUUGAACCGCAUGGUUCAAAAGUGAAAGACGGUCUUGCUGUCACUUAUAGAUGGAUCCGCGCUGCAUUAGCUAGUUGGUAAGGUAAUGGCUUACCAAGGCGACGAUGCAUAGCCGACCUGAGAGGGUGAUCGGCCACACUGGAACUGAGACACGGUCCAGACUCCUACGGGAGGCAGCAGUAGGGAAUCUUCCGCAAUGGGCGAAAGCCUGACGGAGCAACGCCGCGUGAGUGAUGAAGGUCUUCGGAUCGUAAAACUCUGUUAUUAGGGAAGAACAUAUGUGUAAGUAACUGUGCACAUCUUGACGGUACCUGCUGAGAAAGCAACGGCUAACUACGUG